rnacentral:rRNA from 1 species
GUUACUCGCAGAAUAAGCACCGGCUAACUCUGUGCCAGCAGCCGCGGUAAUACAGAGGGUGCAAGCGUUAAUCGGAUUUACUGGGCGUAAAGCGCGCGUAGGCGGCUAAUUAAGUCAAAUGUGAAAUCCCCGAGCUUAACUUGGGAAUUGCAUUCGAUACUGGUUAGCUAGAGUGUGGGAGAGGAUGGUAGAAUUCCAGGUGUAGCGGUGAAAUGCGUAGAGAUCUGGAGGAAUACCGAUGGCGAAGGCAGCCAUCUGGCCUAACACUGACGCUGAGGUGCGAAAGCAUGGGGAGCAAACAGGAUUAGAUACCCUGGUAGUCCAUGCCGUAAACGAUGUCUACUAGCCGUUGGGGCCUUUGAGGCUUUAGUGGCGCAGCUAACGCGAUAAGUAGACCGCCUGGGGAGUACGGUCGCAAGACUAAAACUCAAAUGAAUUGACGGGGGCCCGCACAAGCGGUGGAGCAUGUGGUUUAAUUCGAUGCAACGCGAAGAACCUUACCUGGCCUUGACAUAGUAAGAACUUUCCAGAGAUGGAUUGGUGCCUUCGGGAACUUACAUACAGGUGCUGCAUGGCUGUCGUCAGCUCGUGUCGUGAGAUGUUGGGUUAAGUCCCGCAACGAGCGCAACCCUUUUCCUUAUUUGCCAGCGAGUAAUGUCGGGAACUUUAAGGAUACUGCCAGUGACAAACUGGAGGAAGGCGGGGACGACGUCAAGUCAUCAUGGCCCUUACGGCCAGGGCUACACACGUGCUACAAUGGUCGGUACAAAGGGUUGCUACCUAGCGAUAGGAUGCUAAUCUCAAAAAGCCGAUCGUAGUCCGGAUUGGAGUCUGCAACUCGACUCCAUGAAGUCGGAAUCGCUAGUAAUCGCGGAUCAGAAUGCCGCGGUGAAUACGUUCCCGGGCCUUGUACACACCGCCCGUCACACCAUGGGAGUUUGUUGCACCAGAAGUAGCUAGCCUAACUGCAAAGAGGGCGGUUACCACGGUGUGGCCGAUGACUGGGGUGAAGUCGUAACA